rnacentral:rRNA from 1 species
AUUGAACGCUGGCGGCAGGCCUAACACAUGCAAGUCGAACGAGUGGCGGACGGGUGAGUCAUGUUUGGGAAACUGCCUGAUGGAGGGGGAUAACUACUGGAAACGGUAGCUAAUACCGCAUACCAUCAGAUGUGCCCAGAUGGGAUUAGCUUGUUGGUGGGGUAACGGCGCACCAAGGCGACGAUCCCUAGCGGGUCUGAGAGGAUGACCAGCCCCACGGUAACUGAGCCACCGUCCAGACUCCUCCGGUAGGCGACAGUGGGGAAUAUUGCACAAUUGGCGCAAGCCUGAUGCAGCCAUGCCGCGUGUAUGAAUAAGGCCUUCUGGUUGUAAAGUACUUUCAGCGGGGAGGCGUUACCCGCAGAAGAAGCACCGGCUAACUCCGUGCCAGCAGCCGCGGUAAUUC